rnacentral:rRNA from 1 species
UACAGAGGGUGCAAGCGUUGUUCGGAAUUAUUGGGCGUAAAGCGCGUGUAGGCGGCUUAGUAAGUCGGGUGUGAAAACCCCAGGCUCAACCUGGGGACGCCACCCGAUACUGCUAUAGCUAGAGUCCAGUAGGGGAGUGUGGAAUUCCCAGUGUAGCGGUGAAAUGCGCAGAUAUUGGGAGGAACACCAGCGGCGAAGGCGGCACUCUGGGCUGGUACUGACGCUGAGGAGCGAAAGCGUGGGUAGCGAACAGG